rnacentral:rRNA from 1 species
GGGGAAUUUUCCGCAAUGGGCGAAAGCCUGACGGAGCAAUACCGCGUGAGGGAGGAAGGCUCUAGGGUUGUAAACCUCUUUUCUCAGGGAAGAACAAAAUGACGGUACCUGAGGAAUAAGCAUCGGCUAACUCCGUGCCAGCAGCCGCGGUAAUACGGAGGAUGCAAGCGUUAUCCGGAUUUAUUGGGCGUAAAGCGUCCGCAGGUGGCAGUUCAAGUCUGCUGUCAAAGGUCGGGGCUCAACCCCGAACAGGCAGUGGAAACUGAACAGCUAGAGUACGGUAGGGGCAGGGGGAAUUCCCAGUGUAGCGGUGAAAUGCGUAGAGAUUGGGAAGAACACCGGUGGCGAAAGCGCUCUGCUAGGCCGAAACUGACACUCAUGGACGAAAGCUAGGGGAGCGAAUGGGAUUAGAUACCCCAGUAGUCCUAGCCGUAAACGAUGGAUACUAGGCGUUGUGAGUAUCGACCCUCACAGUGUCGUAGCUAACGCGUUAAGUAUCCCGCCUGGGGAGUACGCGCGCAAGCGUGAAACUCAAAGGAAUUGACGGGGGCCCGCACAAGCGGUGGAGUAUGUGGUUUAAUUCGAUGCAACGCGAAGAACCUUACCAGGGCUUGACAUGUCGCGAAUCUCAGGGAAACUUGAGAGUGCCUUCGGGAGCGCGAACACAGGUGGUGCAUGGCUGUCGUCAGCUCGUGUCGUGAGAUGUUGGGUUAAGUCCCGCAACGAGCGCAACCCUCGUUUUUAGUUGCCAGCAUUAAGUUGGGCACUCUAGAGAGACUGCCGGUGACAAACCGGAGGAAGGUGGGGAUGACGUCAAGUCAGCAUGCCCCCUACGUCCUGGGCUACACACGUACUACAAUGCUACGGACAAAGGGCAGCAAGUUAGCGAUGACAAGCAAAUCCCAUAAACCGUGGCUCAGUUCAGAUUGCAGGCUGCAACUCGCCUGCAUGAAGGUGGAAUCGCUAGUAAUUGCAGGUC